rnacentral:rRNA from 1 species
GACGUAGGGCGCGAGCGUUGUUCGGAUUCAUUGGGCGUAAAGGGUGCGUAGGCGGCGCGGUAAGUCGGGUGUGAAAUCUUGGAGCUUAACUCCGAAACUGCAUUCGAUACUGCCGUGCUUGAGGACUGGAAAGGAGACUGGAAUUUACGGUGUAGCGGUGAAAUGCGUAGAUAUCGUAAGGAAGACCAGUGGCGAAGGCGGGUCUCUGGACAGUUCCUGACGCUGAGGCACGAAGGUCAGGGGAGCAAACGGG